CUUCAAGCUGAAGUGGGACACCACUUUUGAGGACAUGCAAGAAGUCACGUUCGCUCCUCAGAGAAGUGUGUGGGAUCUUAAUAAGAGUGUUACAUGCAAAGCUAUACCCUGAAGCCUACACAGAUGACCUCUUUCUUCCACUGCGGAGAAUUUGGCCCAGUUCCAUUUUAGCGGUGUUUUCAUUUACUUUAAAAAAAAAAAAAAAAGAAAGAAAAAAAUCAUACUGAGCUCUCUGAUGUUGUGACAAUGUGAAGAUGAGGAUGGGGACUUUGCACCGUGUACAACUGACAGAGAAACGGUCCCAGGGAGCGUCGUGGCAGGACUUCCCUUGGUGUCUGAGGUCCCUGAGAGAGUACACGUACAGUUCACUCUGGAAGCUACACAGCUGAAGCACUGGCAACAGAAGAAGCAGAAUAUGCUUGGCUGUCAUUUUAGCAAUCUUCUCUGCAGCAGUCCUAAUGUGCACGGAAGAGGGGCUAUUGCCUGAUGACUCCACACGUAUGAAACAGUUCAAUUUGGAUAGUGAAAACCUAGAUGAAGUAUCAGGUGAAAAUUCCCCUGUGCUUUGCUCUUUCAGGCGAUUGAAUAAUUUCCUGAAGGAACUGGGGAAGCUGCCCCCGUGCUGUCAAAUGUUUAAAGGUACUUGACUUUAAAGUACUGUCCAUCUUGACCUUGUCUCAGUGUUUGUCGUGGCAGGUCUCUUC